AUACGGAGGGUGCAAGCGUUACUCGGAAUCACUGGGCGUAAAGCGCGCGCAGGCGGCUAUUUAAGUUGGAUGUGAAAGCCUACGGCUCAACCGUAGAACUGCAUCCAAAACUAUUUAGCUAGAGUGUGGGAGAGGAAGAUGGAAUUAGUUGUGUAGGGGUAAAAGCCGUAGAGAUAACUAGGAAUACCAAAAGCGAAGGCAAUCUUCUGGAACACUGCUGACGCUGAGGCGCGAAAGCGUGGGGAGCAAACAGGAUUAGAAACCCUAGUAGUCC
rnacentral:rRNA from 1 species